rnacentral:lncRNA from 1 species
UAUACUGGUAAAGCCUGCCCUUGACUUAAGACACUGGCAGAAUAGUUGGAGAUGGAUUACAAUGCUACAGAUCAGUUUCAAUUCAGGACCAGUUUACAAAGAAGGAAAAGAAGGCAUGGUCCAUUUUCCUGGCUGUUUGUCUCCCACUCUAUCAUAUGAAUGGCAGUUCACUGAUGAUAGUUGUUGUCAAGCUCUGAGGGGAAGUCACCCUGAGCACUGUUGUCUGAGGCAGUAUGCGAGUGAAGACCGCUGGGAUUCUACUCUUACUUUCUCCACACUGGCAUUUCAGAUCUCUUUGGUCUAAAGUGUGGACUUCCACAGGUCAGGAACCUCCUUGACUGUUAUUUGAGAAUCGUUGGAGGCAAGAUAUAGAUAACCACCCCGGGUUGCGGGACUCUGGGGGUCCUCUGAUCUACCCCAGAGAGGAUGGCCACUGGGCCAUGGUGGGGGUCACCUCCUGGGGGAAAGGCUGUGGCCGGAGCCGGAUCAACAAGGCCGAGUCCCCAGCCAAGAUAGGAUCCCCGGGGGUCUUUACUGAUGUCAAGAUGUUCCUGCCCUGGAUCGAGACGAAACUCGGAAGGUUAUCUAACACGUUUUAGUCAGUGAAGGUUCUGUGGCAGCCCCUCCCCCCAUCAGCCCCAGUGCUAAUCGAUUCCCACAAGGCCUCCACUUUGUGUCUGAUGUCAGUGGAACAGGAAGCGGAUUUGUUGUUAGAUUCCGAGGUGUAACCGCUAUGUCAGGCCAUGCAUGCUGGCUCAAAGGCUAACCCCACUCACCCCAGGGAUAGAACAACAGAACAUUAAACCAGUUACCAUUGCAGAAGUGCUGUAUGUCAAAACUGUGUUUUUUGAUUAUAAAGAUGACAGACUGACACUGAUGGCUGGAUCCUCAUAGCAUUUGUUUUCUGCUAAAUAAUUAUUUAGUUCUCUGUUUGUACUGCAAAUACCUGUGUAUUGUGUUCGU